rnacentral:lncRNA from 1 species
ACAUGACAAGUAUAGCAAAGUAAAAACCAGACAGAGUAGAGUUUAAGAACGCAAAUCUGUUUUGGAGAUAGAUGAUCUUGUUGACUUUCCACAGCUUUGAUCUCGAACUGGUUUGGAAUUCUGAGUGAGGAAUAUUAGAGUUCCUUGGUUGUGCAGUCUGCAUUUUUCCCUGCUUGUUUCUUCUGCAUGGCAGGCAGGCACGAGGUAGAUGUGAUGGUCUGUUUCUUUCUUCAAUCUUUCCAAGUGCCGACCAUUUGCUUUCUUUCUCCUUGUCCCUAGCUGAGGAUGAAUUAGCACAUUGUCUCCACAUGCUUCGAGGUAUCAUUUUCACUUCCCUUAUCUGUUCCCCAGGCAGAUGUGGUAGCUUGAGGAAGCAUAAGAUGUUAAAAAUGAGUACUCAAGAGCAAUCAGGAAGGAGUUCCAGGCAGUCGGUUCCAGAUCGGAAGAUUGAUACCAAGUGCUGGCUGAUUGCUCUCUUUCUCCUUGUCCCGCAGGUGAAAAACAACGACAAGGAGAAGGAUAGGGAGAAAGCAUGAUAUGAGAUACUCUUGCUUUCAACCUUCAUGAUAUGAAAUACUUUUGCUUUUGAUGGGUUGUUUACAGAGGUAUCCCAUGGAAUAAGGAACACUGAGUGACUCGAGAGGCUUUGUUGGGA